AGAGUUUGAUUCUGGCUCAGGACGAACGCUGGCGGCGUGCUUAACACAUGCAAGUCGAACGGUGAUGGCCAGCUUGCUGGUCUGAUCAGUGGCGAACGGGUGAGUAACACGUGAGCAACCUGCCCUUCACUCUGGGAUAACCACGGGAAACGGUGGCUAAUACCGGAUAUGAGACGUACACGCAUGUGUCGCGUCUGGAAAGAUUUAUCGGUGAAGGAUGGGCUCGCGGCCUAUCAGCUUGUUGGUGGGGUAGUGGCCCACCAAGGCGACGACGGGUAGCCGGCCUGAGAGGGCGACCGGCCACACUGGGACUGAGACACGGCCCAGACUCCUACGGGAGGCAGCAGUGGGGAAUAUUGCACAAUGGGCGCAAGCCUGAUGCAGCGACGCCGCGUGAGGGAUGACGGCCUUCGGGUUGUAAACCUCUUUCAGCAGGGAAGAAGCGCAAGUGACGGUACCUGCAGAAGAAGCGCCGGCUAACUACGUGCCAGCAGCCGCGGUAAUACGUAGGGCGCAAGCGUUGUCCGGAAUUAUUGGGCGUAAAGAGCUCGUAGGCGGUUUGUCGCGUCUGCUGUGAAAACCUAAGGCUCAACCUUGGGCUUGCAGUGGGUACGGGCAGACUAGAGUGCGGUAGGGGUGACUGGAAUUCCUGGUGUAGCGGUGGAAUGCGCAGAUAUCAGGAGGAACACCGAUGGCGAAGGCAGGUCACUGGGCCGCAACUGACGCUGAGGAGCGAAAGCAUGGGGAGCGAACAGGAUUAGAUACCCUGGUAGUCCAUGCCGUAAACGUUGGGCACUAGGUGUGGGGCUCAUUCCACGAGUUCCGUGCCGCAGCAAACGCAUUAAGUGCCCCGCCUGGGGAGUACGGCCGCAAGGCUAAAACUCAAAGAAAUUGACGGGGGCCCGCACAAGCGGCGGAGCAUGCGGAUUAAUUCGAUGCAACGCGAAGAACCUUACCAAGGCUUGACAUACACCGGAAACUUCCAGAGAUGGUUGCCCCGCAAGGUCGGUGUACAGGUGGUGCAUGGUUGUCGUCAGCUCGUGUCGUGAGAUGUUGGGUUAAGUCCCGCAACGAGCGCAACCCUCGUCCCAUGUUGCCAGCGGGUUAUGCCGGGGACUCAUGGGAGACUGCCGGGGUCAACUCGGAGGAAGGUGGGGAUGACGUCAAAUCAUCAUGCCCCUUA
rnacentral:rRNA from 1 species